rnacentral:rRNA from 1 species
GUGGAUUAGAUACCCGAGUAGUCCACGCCCUAAACGAUGAAUACUCGAUGUUAGCGAUAUACAGUUAGCGUCUAAGCGAAAGCGUUAAGUAUUCCACCUGGGGAGUACGCCCGCAAGGGUGAAACUCAAAGGAAUUGACGGGGGCCCGCACAAGCGGAGGAGCAUGUGGUUUAAUUCGAUGAUACGCGAGGAACCUUACCCGGGCUUGAAAGUUACUGAAGUUCUCAGAGAUGAGAGCGUCCUUCGGGACAGGAAACUAGGUGCUGCACGGUUGUCGUCAACU